UACAGAGGUCCCAAGCGUUGUUCGGAUUCAUUGGGCGUAAAGGGUGCGUAGGCGGCGCGGUAAGUCGGGUGUGAAAUCUCGGGGCUUAACUCCGAAACUGCAUUCGAUACUGCCGUGCUUGAGGACUGGAGAGGAGACUGGAAUUUACGGUGUAGCGGUGAAAUGCGUAGAUAUCGUAAGGAGGACCAGUGGCGAAGGCGGGUCUCGUGGACAGUUCCUGACGCUGAGGCACGAAGGCCAGGGGAGCAAACGGG
rnacentral:rRNA from 1 species